CGCGGCAACGCAACUGAACGCGGAGACGACGGCAGGGGGCCCAGGCAGAGUUCUCUUUUCUUAACGGUCUAUCACCCUGAAAACAGUCUGUCUGUAGAUAGGCUUUAAUGGCCGGAAUAGCCCGACACUUCUGUCGUGUCCGGUACGCUCUCGACGUUCCUUGAAAAUCCGCGGCAGGAAA
rnacentral:ncRNA from 2 species